rnacentral:pre_miRNA from 11 species
GGGAUGGACCCACUGCCGCUCCCCGCGGUCCAUUAUUACUUUUGGUACGCGCUGUGCCACUUCAAACUCGUACCGUGAGUAAUAAUGCGCUGAGGGACAGCACCCGCUGCAAACGCCGU